GAUUCCUACGGGGGGCAGCAGUGGGGGAUAUUGCACAAUGGGGGGAACCCUGACGCAGCGACGCCGCGUGGGUGAAGAAGCGCCUCGGCGCGUAAAGCCCUGUCAGCAGGGAAGAAAAUGACGGUACCUGAAGAAGACGCCCCGGCUAACUACGUGCCAGCAGCCGCGGUAAUACGCAGGGGGCAAGCGUUAUCCGGAUUUACUGGGUGUAAAGGGGGCGCAGACGGCGAU
rnacentral:rRNA from 1 species